UGCCAUGUAUUUGUGGACAUGAGGAUGGUU
rnacentral:piRNA from 1 species